UACGGGGGGAGCAAGCGUUGUUCGGAUUUACUGGGCGUAAAGGGCUCGUAGGCGGCCAACUAAGUCAUACGUGAAAUCCCUCAGCUUAACUGGGGAACUGUGUGUGAUACUGGAUGGCUUGGAUUUGGGAGAGGGAUGCGGAAUUCCAGGUGUAGCGGUGAAAUGCGUAGAUAUCUGGAGGAAUACCGGUGGCGAAGGCGGCAUCCUGGACCCGGCAUUGACGCUGAGGAGCGAAAGCUAGGGGAGCAAACGGGAUUAAGAAACCCGGGGUAGU
rnacentral:rRNA from 1 species